CGCCAUGGUAGCUCCUCCCUUCGGCGCGCCCGCCCCGGAGUCGGCCUCCUCUUGUGGCCGUAAGCGCAUUUCUAAUCUUCAUGUGUACCUGGGGCUUGCUUAAUUAUCUUAAUCAAAGCAGAGUUUUUUUAAUCUAUUCCGACACUCAGAUUAGAAGUCUCAAGAAGCUGAUGCCUUGUGACAUAUAAUGUGAUGAAUUGGAUGCGUAGGUGCAUUGAUGCAUGGAAGUUGUUUCCAUAGGCCUUUAACAAAUUAACUUGUGGUUAGUCCUAAAGCAGUAUAUGGUAUGCUGUGAAUUGUCAGUGGCCUUGGGGCAUCGACAAUUUGAUAUCAUUUUUUGAUGUGAUUUUGACACGUACCAUUCUUAUCCAAACUAAAGGGCAUACAAGAACCUCUUGGAAGGAAAGACCCCGUAAGGGGAUAAUGACUUCACUCAUGCUUAAGUUGCAUGUCACUGUUUCACACUUUUCUUUAGGAAUGUGUCGUACGUCAUCAAGGUCAAAGGUACUUGCUGUUCCUAAAAGCAAACUAAGAUCCGGUAAGUCCUGAUGUACCUUGAAGGAACCCAUGAGGAACACUGAAGGCCUUUUCUACAAAACUAGGAAUGCGGAUUUACUUUUGGUGUAACUGUCAGUGGUUUUUUCAGUACCUUCUAUCAUUUAUUAUUUGUCUAUAGAAUUCAUCACAGACCACAAAUAAAGUCUCUUCGGAUACUUUUCUUUCUAAUCAGUCCAAUUCAUCAUAUGUUGCACUUGGUGAUGGCUAUAAUCUUGAUCAUUAUAACCGCUCAUCAUUUUUACAUCACAGCAGAAGUGAAAGAUGAAAACCUGUUGGACUACUACUUGCAAAAUAGCAUUUUGACAAAGUUGAUGAAGCGUUGUUCACAUUGCUGGAUGGUACGUGCACAUCACAACAAGAGUAGCAUGAAAACCUGUUGGACUACCUGCAAAGCACCAUUUUAGCACACUCGAUAAUGUCAUGAUUUAAAAUAUCAGUUGUACUGACAUGUUCCUGUUGGUAGUUACCAGUCUGAUCGAGCAUAGGGAAAAAAAGGAAACAAGGAUAAGUAUCUUCUUGGCAAUGAGGAGUGGGAAAAAGUUUCAUGGCUUGCUGUCAGGACUGCCCUUACAACUGGAACUCUUGUGGAUGCUGAACCAACGAAUCAAACCACUUCAUUACACCUCCCCUUUUCUGUCUCACCCAACAUGGGUGACUCCUGCAUCUAAAACCAUUCAUGUUUGCUAACAAAGCCAACAUCACUUCUUACAUGCUCAUGACCAUCCCUCUCAUUUUCUUCCCCUCCUAGUCCAUGCUGUAUUCCUCUCUCUCCUCUUUCAUUCAUGAAGCGCUUCAUUAGAGACCAAUCGAUGGAUAGGUUCAUCAUCCUCCCGUUCUAUUGUUCCUUUUGGUUUGUAUUGUGAAACCCUGUAAGCCUAAUCAUCGCCCUCGGUGUGAUAGUUGUGUUGAAGGUGGAGAUGGUGAGAUGCAAUCCACCGGAAAGCUCAAGAACUCAUUCACUGCAGGGUUUGAGAAGCUGAUCAAGAGCUUGUCCCAGUAUUUUGUGCUUUACCAGGGAGAGGACAAAGAGGUGGGGAUGGAGAUUGGAUUUCUCACUGAUGUGGAGCAUGCUGCUCCUAUAGGCCGUGAAGGAUUCGACUCUCCAGAGUUCCUUUCCUUUUCAUUGAAGCAGUUUGAGCUGGCCAUGGUAGCACAUGUUGGUGCCUCUCCACCUCAUGGUCCCCAUGAGGUGCUUCUCACUUGAACACCUUCUUGGGUUCUUGUGUUUCUCGCAGUCUGUUGCUUGUGGUGAUAGAGAGGGGAAGCAUGUGAACUUGUAUAGCUUGCUGUGACAUGAGAAUCUAUCGACAUUUUCUGGUUC